AUACGUAGGGGACGAGCGUUGUCCGGAAUUACUGGGCGUAAAGGGCGCGCAGGCGGAUAUUUAAGUCAGCUGUAAAAGGCAUGAGCUCAACUCAUGUAUGCGGUUGAAACUGGGUAUCUAGAGUGCUGGAGCGGUAGGAGGAAUUCCCGGUGUAGCGGGGAAAUGCGUAGAUAUCGGGAAGAAUACCAGUGGCGAAGGCGGCUUACUGGCCAGCAACUGACGCUGAGGCGCGAAAGCCAGGGGAGCGAACGGGAUUAGAUACCCCGGUAGUCCUGGCCGUAAACGAUGAAUGCUAGGUGUGGGUGUCGAGAGGCAUCCGUGCCGGAGUUAACGCGAUAAGCAUUCCGCCUGGGGAGUACGAUCGCAAGAUUGAAACUCAAAGGAAUUGACGGGG
rnacentral:rRNA from 1 species